rnacentral:rRNA from 1 species
GGAGGAAAAGAAACCAACAGGGAUUGCCUCAGUAACGGCGAGUGAAGCGGCAAGAGCUCAAAUUUGAAAUCUGGAGCUUUCAGCUUCCGAGUUGUAAUUUGAAGAGGAUGUUUCGGUUGCGGCCACGGCCCAAGUUCCUUGGAACAGGACGUCAUGGAGGGUGAGAAUCCCGUACCUGGCUGCUGGCUUGCUUCCAUGUGAAACUCCUUCGAAGAGUCGAGUUGUUUGGGAAUGCAGCUCAAAAUGGGUGGUAAAUUUCAUCUAAAGCUAAAUAUUGGCGGGAGACCGAUAGCGCACAAGUAGAGUGAUCGAAAGAUGAAAAGCACUUUGAAAAGAGAGUUAAACAGUACGUGAAAUUGUUGAAAGGGAAGCGCUUGCAAUCAGACUCGCUUUCGGUUGAUCAACGUUCCUUCUGGUUCGUGCACUCUGCCGUUGGCGGGCCAGCAUCAGCUGGGGCGGUGGGACAAAGACGGCGGGAAUGUGGCUCUCUUCGGGGAGUGUUAUAGCCUGUUGUGCAAUGCCACCAGCCCCGGCUGAGGUCCGCGGUUCGCCUAGGAUGCUGGCUUAAUGGUUGUAAGCGACCCGUCUUGAAACACGGACCAAGGAGUCUAACAUCUAUGCGAGUCUUUGGGUGUCAAACCCAUGGGCGUAAUGAAAGUGAACGGAGGUGGGAGUCUUCGGAUGCACCAUCGACCGAUCCUGAUGUUCUCGGAUGGAUUUGAGUAGGAGCAUAGCUGUUGGGACCCGAAAGAUGGUGAACUAUGCCUGAAUAGGGUGAAGCCAGAGGAAACUCUGGUGGAGGCUCGCAGCGGUUCUGACGUGCAAAUCGAUCGUCAAAUUUGGGUAUAGGGGCGAAAGACUAAUCGAACCAUCUAGUAGCUGGUUCCUGCCGAAG